rnacentral:rRNA from 1 species
CGACCGGCGCACGGGUGCGUAACGCGUAUGCAACCUACCUUUAACAGGGGGAUAACACUGAGAAAUUGGUACUAAUACCCCAUAAUAUCAUAGAAGGCAUCUUUUAUGGUUGAAAAUUCCGAUGGUUAGAGAUGGGCAUGCGUUGUAUUAGCUAGUUGGUGGGGUAACGGCUCACCAAGGCGACGAUACAUAGGGGGACUGAGAGGUUAACCCCCCACAUUGGUACUGAGACACGGCCCAG